GUCCAGACUCCUACGGGAGGCAGCAGUGAGGAAUAUUGGUCAAUGGGCUUACGCCUGAACCAGCCAAGUCGCGUGAGGGAAGACUGCCCUAUGGGUUGUAAACCUCUUUUGUCAGGGAGCAAUUGGCGCUACGUGUAGCGUUAUCGAGAGUACCUGAAGAAAAAGCAUCGGCUAACUCCGUGCCAGCAGCCGCGGUAAUACGGAGGAUUCAAGCGUUAUCCGGAUUUAUUGGGUUUAAAGGGUGCGUAGGCGGUCGGAUAAGUUAGAGGUGAAAUCCCGAGGCUCAACUUCGGAAUUGCCUCUGAUACUGUUCGGCUAGAGAGUAGUGGCGGUAGGCGGAAUGUAUGGUGUAGCGGUGAAAUGCUUAGAGAUCAUACAGAACACCGAUUGCGAAGGCAGCUUACCAAGCUACUUCUGACGUUGAGGCACGAAAGCGUGGGGAGCAAACAGGAUUAGAUACCCCCGUACA
rnacentral:rRNA from 1 species